UUUUUUUUUUUUUUGUAUUUUAGCAGAGAUGGGGUUUCACCGUGUUGGCCAGGAUGGUCUCAAUCUCCUGACCUUGUGAUCUUCCUGCCUCGGCCUCCCAACGUGCUGGAAUUACAGGCAUAAGCCACCACACCUGGCCCAAAUUAUGGUUUAUUUUUAUAAUAUAAUACUACCCCACAAUAAAAAAGGACAAACUACUAGUACCCAUAAAACAUGAGUGGAUCUCACAGACAUAAUGAUAAGCAAAAGAAGCCAGACACAGGCGAGUGCUCACAGUAUGAGUCCAUUUACAUGAAG
rnacentral:lncRNA from 1 species